GCCACAGGUAUGGAGAGAGGGUUAUUUGAGCCACUUGUUUUGGGUUCCUGGUUGAGACAUUUCCUGCCAUCCUUUGCCCUCUUGUGGCCUCUCUGAGAGACCGCAUGGAAUCCCCAGAUGGGUCCAAAGGUUUGUCUCUUGCUUUAGAACUGAAAAAGGCCCUUGGUGUCAGCGACAUGUCCUGCGCUCUGGAUGGCUGCUCGGAGGCCCCAUGGGACCCGACAGGAGCAGAUGAGGAAACUGAGGCUCAGAGAGGGACUUGUCCCAGGCAACCAGGCUCUGGUGCCGAGGUCCAGCCGCUCUGCUCACGGCCUCCUCCAGGAACAUCCACAGCGGCGUCUCGACCACAUCUCUCUUCGUUCCCAUCGGACAAAUAAGUCAAAGCAUCCACACCAUUUCGAGGCUUUUAUUUUUCUUUUAUUAUUAAAAAAAAUUUUUUUUAA